UCCCGCUGUCUGCAAGACCAGGACGGUCAUUUACGAGAUCCUCGGAGUCAGGUCGACCCCACAUCCGCCAACUUCCUGAUCUGGCCCCCGUGCGUGGGAGGUGAAACGCUGCACCGGCUGCUGCAACACGAGCAGUGUCAAGUGCCAGCCCUCCCGUGUCCACCACCGCAGCGUCAAGGUGGCCAAGGUGGAAUACGUCAGGAAGAAGCCAAAAUUAAAAGAAGUCCAGGUGAGGUUAGAGGAGCAUUUGGAGUGCACCUGCGCGACCACCAGCCUGAAUCCGGAUUAUCGGGAAGAGGACACGGGAAGGCCUAGGGAGUCAGGUAAAAAACGGAAAAGAAAAAGGUUAAAACCCACCUAAAGCAGCCAACCAGGUAGGACCUGUCUGCCGG
rnacentral:lncRNA from 1 species